UACGGGGGGAGCAAACGUUGUUCGGAAUCACUGGGCGUAAAGGGCGCGUAGGCGGCCGGGUAAGUGGGGUGUGAAAGCCUCUGGCUCAACCAGAGAAAUGCACUCCAUACUGCCUGGCUUGAGUAUCGGAGAGGACGAGUGGAAUUCCCGGUGUAGCAGUGAAAUGCGUAGAGAUCGGGAGGAACAUCUGUGGCGAAGGCGGCCAUCUGGACCAGCACUGAC
rnacentral:rRNA from 1 species